GGCGCUAUAGUGUAGUGGUUAUCACUUGGGAUUCUGAUUCCUUGAGUUCCCAAAACCCAGGUUCGAGCCCUGGUAGCGCCU
rnacentral:tRNA from 1 species